GAGUUUGAUCAUGGCUCAGAUUGAACGCUGGCGGCAUGCCUUACACAUGCAAGUCGAACGGUAACAGGUCUUCGGACGCUGACGAGUGGCGAACGGGUGAGUAAUACAUCGGAACGUGCCCAGUCGUGGGGGAUAACUACUCGAAAGAGUAGCUAAUACCGCAUACGAUCUGAGGAUGAAAGCGGGGGACCUUCGGGCCUCGCGCGAUUGGAGCGGCCGAUGGCAGAUUAGGUAGUUGGUGGGAUAAAAGCUUACCAAGCCGACGAUCUGUAGCUGGUCUGAGAGGACGACCAGCCACACUGGGACUGAGACACGGCCCAGACUCCUACGGGAGGCAGCAGUGGGGAAUUUUGGACAAUGGGCGAAAGCCUGAUCCAGCAAUGCCGCGUGCAGGAUGAAGGCCUUCGGUUGUAAC
rnacentral:rRNA from 1 species